rnacentral:lncRNA from 1 species
UUUAUUAAAUACGGAAAUGAACUUUGCAGCAUUAAUGGAUGACUGCAACUAAUAGUUGUUAGUUUUGCCUGGCUCAGCUCAAGUAAUUUGUAGUUUUAAGUAAGCAUUGCUUAGAAAAGAAAGAGUUUCAAAUUUUCUUAACUUAAAGAUUAGUCUCGUAAAUAUAAGAGAUAUAUAAAAGAAAUAGAGUACCACCCUUUAACUCAACAAAAAGUUAAAAAAA